UGAUAUUGUUGCACAUGUUGCUGAUUUUGGCAUUGCAAGACUCUUAGGUGGAGGAGAUUCUAUGACCCAAACCAUGACCCUAGCCACAAUUGGGUAUAUGGCUCCAGAGUUUGGAAUGGAAGGAGUAGUUUCAACAAGGGGGGAUGUGUAUAGUUUCGGUGUUGUGCUGAUGGAGACUUUCACAAAAAGGAAGCCAACAUAUGAGAUGUUUGUUGAUAUGGAUUGCAAAUUCCUUGUUUCCAGAUGCUGAAAUAGUUGAAGUUGCGGAUGCCGAUUUAUUUGGGACAGAGGAAGAUCAGGAUUUUGUGAGCAAGAGGGAUUGCUUAUCAUCCAUUAUGUGAGAUUAGCUCUAGCUCGUUCCGCAGAAUUUCCAAAAGAGAGGAUUAACAUGCAAGAUGAUGUUGUCACACUCAAUAAAAUCAAGAUUAAGUUUUUGAA